GCAUUUGUACUCUUUGGGUUAAAGUGCCCAACUCAUAAUUGGCGAAUUCGUAGGUUCAAUUCCUACUGGAUGCA
rfam:Citrus clementina cultivar Clemenules unplaced genomic scaffold scaffold_1, whole genome shotgun sequence.